GCCCGGUUAGCUCAGUUGGUAGAGCAUCAGACUUUUAAUCUGAGGGCCAUGGGUUCGAGUGCCAUAUCGGCG
rnacentral:tRNA from 1 species